AGAGCAUACGGUGGAUGCCUUGGCGAUAUCUGCCGACGAAGGACGUGACAAGCUGCGAAAAGCUGCGGAGAGAUGCAAAUAAUCGGCGACCCGCAGACAUCCGAAUGGAGCAAUCCGGCUGUGAUGAUGCACAGCCAUCCAUGCCCAAGAGCAUGAGAAGGGAACCGGGCGAACUGAAACAUCUAAGUAACCCGAGGAAAAGAAAUCAAACGAGAUACCCCAAGUAGCGGCGAGCGAACAGGGAAGAAGCCCAAACCGGUGAAGGAAACUUUACCGGGGUUGAGGACCAUCAGACCCGCGAAGAACCUUAGCCGAAACUGUUGGGAAACAGUGCCGAAGACAGUGAAAGCCUGGUAGGCGAAAAAGAGAAACGCGGAGAUGGCACCGGAGUACCGCGGGACACGAGAAAUCCCGUGGGAAGCAGGGGGGACCACCCUCCAAGGCAAAACACAGAUAUCGACCGAUAGCGCAUAGUACCAUGAGGGAAAGGUGAAAAGCACCCCGGGAGGGGAAUGAAAGAGAACCUGAAACCGUAUGUUUACAAGCAGUCGGAGACCGCUUAAUAAUAAGGUCGACGGCGUGCCUAUUGAAGAAUGAACCGGCGAGUUACGAAGCCUGGCAAGGUUAAGCAGGAAAUGCGGAGCCGAAGCGAAAGCGAGUCUUAAGAGGGCGCAAGUCAGGAAGCGUAGACCCGAAACCACAGUGAUCUACCCAUGUCCAGGUUGAAACACAGGUAAAAAUGUGUGGAGGACCGAACCUAUAUCCGUUGAAAAGGGUUAGGAUGAGGUGUGGGUAGGGGUGAAAUUCCAAUCGAACGUGGAGAUAGCUGGUUCUCCCCGAAAUAGCUUUAGGGCUAGCCUCAGGGAAAAGAUUGCAGGCGGUAGAGCACUGAUCAGGAGAGGGACCUACCCGGUUACCAAACCCAGUCAAACUCCGAAUGGCUGCAAUCAUACCUGGGAGUCAGACUGCGACUAAUAAGGGCCGCAGUCAAAAGGGAAACAGCCCAGACCAUCAGCUAAGGUCCCCAAUGCCGUGCUAAGUGGAAAAGGAUGUGGCAUUUCAUAAACAACCAGGAUGUUGGCUCAGAAGCAGCCACCAUUUAAAGAGUGCGUAAUAGCUCACUGGUCGAGAGACGCUGCGCCGAAAAUGUCCGGGGCUCAAGCACGGAACCGAAGCUAUGGCAUGAUAGCAAUAUCAUGGGUAGGGGAGCGUUCUUAUAAGGAAGAAGCAUGACCGGAAGGACAUGUGGACGAAUAAGAAGUGAGAAUGCCGGUAUGAGUAUCGAAAAGAAAGGUGAGAAUCCUUUCCACCGAAAGCCCGAGGGUUCCUGAGCAACGAUCGUCGACUCAGGGUAAGUCGGGACCUAAGCCGAGGCGAGAAGCGUAGGCGAUGGACAACAGGUUGAAAUUCCUGUACCGGAUCAAGUCGAUCGAGCGAAGGAGCGACGCAGGAGGGCACAUGAUCGCGCGGCUGGAAGAGCGCGUCCAAGUGCGUAUGUUGCUGCAGAGGAAAACCCCUGCGGCUGAAAGCAGAGACAUGAUGGGGAGUUAAAGGAAACUUUGACGAACUCAUGGAUCCCACACUGCCAAGAAAAACUUCUAGCGAGACAAGAUCCGCCCGUACCGUAAACCGACACAGGUAGGCGGGGAGAGAAUCCUAAGGGGCGCGGGAAAACCCUCGUUAAGGAACUCGGCAAAUUGCAUCCGUAACCUAGGGAGAAGGAUGGCCCCCGGUCAGUGAAGAGCAGAAACGCUCAGAGCUAAAAGGGGCGGCAGAAAAGAGGCCCAAGCAACUGUUUACCAAAAACACAGGUGCCUGCGAAAGCGAAAGCUGAAGUAUAGGUGCUGACGCCUGCCCGGUGCCGGAAGGUUAAGGAGAGAAGUUAGCGAAAGCGAAGCAUCGAACUGAAGCCCCGGUGAACGGCGGCCGUAACUAUAACGGUCCUAAGGUAGCGAAAUUCCUUGUCGGGUAAGUUCCGACCCGCAUGAAAGGCGUAAUGAUUUGGGCACUGUCUCAACGAGGGGCCCGGUGAAAUUGAAAUACCUGUGAAGAUGCAGGUUACCCGCGACUGGACAGAAAGACCCCAUGGAGCUUCACUGCAGCUUGAGAUUGAAUCCCGGUGACAGAUGCACAGGAUAGGUGGGAGGCGCCGAAGCAUUGCCCUAGGGCGGUGCGGAGCCGAUGUUGGGAUACCACCCUUCUGUUGCUGAGAUUCUAACGCGAGGAGUAACGACCCUGCGGACCCUCUCAGGCAGGCGGUUUGACUGGGGCGGUCGCCUCCGAAAGAGUAACGGAGGCG
rnacentral:rRNA from 1 species